rnacentral:misc_RNA from 1 species
AACGCAACUUGCACUUGUUUACCAAGUAUGCCUGUUUGAGUAUCAUUUUAUUCUCUCUCAUCCAAUCACAUAAAGAGGAGAUGAGGAAUUUGAGUGUUUGAUGAUCGAUCGAUCAUCAUCACUUUAAAUAUAUGAUUCACAUAUAUGGUAAAAAACCAAACUAGAAAUAUGUAUAUAUAUACAAAGCAUUGUUAGGAUCUUUACAAAUCCCUAUGCUCUACUAUAUAUAUAAAGUCUAACAAGUUUUACCAUUUUCUUCGGAAAUAAACAAACAUCAUCAAAAUCUUAUGAUCUCAAAUCAGGCAAGACUACCCGCUGAACUUAA